UACGUAGGGUGCAAGCGUUGUCCGGAAUUAUUGGGCGUAAAGAGCUUGUAGGCGGUUUGUCGCGUCUGCUGUGAAAUUUCGGGGCUCAACCCCGAACUUGCAGUGGGUACGGGCAGACUAGAGUGUGGUAGGGGAGACUGGAAUUCCUGGUGUAGCGGUGAAAUGCGCAGAUAUCAGGAGGAACACCGAUGGCGAAGGCAGGUCUCUGGGCCAUAACUGACGCUGAGAAGCGAAAGCAUGGGGCGCGAACAGG
rnacentral:rRNA from 1 species